GGGGCUGGGGAGUGAGGGACACCCCCAAAAUGCCAAGGCACUGGGGAAGCGCAGGGAACUAGAGUCAAUCCCAAACUGUGAUAGGGUGGGGGUGAGAGGUAUCCUGCAGCAGCAGUGGCUUCAGGAGCUCCUGAAGUCAGACUCCAGAAUAGAAGAAACAGAACAAAAUGCCAUAAAUCUUCAUCCAACCAAGGACUAACUCCAGUUGUUUUUCACUAUGGAGACUCUUAUUUGGACCCUUCAUGGAUGAGAAAUGCUGAAGGAGAUUAGCCGGGAGAGAAUGGAGGGUGCCUCAUGAAUGCCCAGGCAAAGAGCCAGAAGCCAUAUGCUGUGAAUGGAGCUUUUCAUAUUUUGAAGCGUACCGCUCGCAUCAUUGACUUUAGCUUUGGUUGGGGGAAGGGAGAUGCUUCCUUCGCCAUGCUCGGUGUGAGCAGAUGGAACAAACAUGGCACUGAUAAAAUAAGGAUUACUCAAUUCUGCAAAU